rnacentral:rRNA from 1 species
CGCCUCCUGCAACAUAGAGUAUAGGAGGUCCAGCCUGCCCAGUGACUACGGGUUCAACGGCCGCGGUAUAUUGACCGUGCAAAGGUAGCGCAAUCACUUGUCUUUUAAAUAGAGACCUGUAUGAAUGGCUAGACGAGGGCUUAACUGUCUCCCCCUUCCAGUCAGUGAAAUUGAUCUAUCCGUGCAGAAGCGGGUAUAAAACUACAAGACGAGAAGACCCUUUGGAGCUUAAGGUACAAAAUUCAGCCACGUUAAGCAACUCCGUACAAAGUAGGAACUUAGUGACCAUGAAGUUUUACCUUCGGUUGGGGCGACCACGGAGGAAAAGCAAGCCUCCGAGUGGAGUGGGCCGAGAUCCCUAAAGCCAAGAGAGACAUCUUUAAGCCGCAGAACAUCUGACCAAUAAUGAUCCGGCUAAGAAGCCGAUCAACGGACCAAGUUACCCUAGGGAUAACAGCGCAAUCCUCUCCCAGAGCCCAUAUCGACGAGGGGGUUUACGACCUCGAUGUUGGAUCAGGACAUCCUGGUGGUGCAGCCGCUAUUAAGGGUUCGUUUGUUCAACGAUUAAAGUCCU